UACGGAGGGUGCGAGCGUUGUCCGGAAUCACUGGGCGUAAAGGGCGCGUAGGCGGCGCGGGCAGUCAACGGUGAAAGCUUGGGGCUCAACCCCGAGUCGGCCGUCGAUACUCCCGUGCUUGGGCACUGUAGAGGCAGGUGGAAUUCCGGGUGUAGCGGUGGAAUGCGUAGAGAUCCGGAAGAACACCGGUGGCGAAGGCGGCCUGCUGGGCAGUAGCUGACGCUGAGGCGCGACAGCGUGGGGAGCAAACGGG
rnacentral:rRNA from 1 species